rnacentral:rRNA from 1 species
AGGAUGAACGCUGGCGGCGUGCCUAACACAUGCAAGUCGAACGUCCUGUCUCGCAAGAGGCAGGGAGUGGCGGACGGGUGAGUACCACGUGGGUCAUCUACCGUGAGGUGAGGAAUACCGGCGAGAAAUCGCCGACAAGACCGCAUAGCCUCGGUGCAAGUCGAGGAAAGCUCUCUCGAGAGAGGGAGCGCCACACGAGGAGCCUGCGCCCGAUUAGCUAGCUGGUGGAGUAAUGGUUCACCAGGGCGACGAUCGGUAGCUGGUCUGAGAGGACGAUCAGCCACACUGGGAUUGAGAACGGCCCAGACUCCUACGGGGGCAGCAGUGAGGAAUUUUCGUCAAUGGGGCAACCCUGAACGAGCAACGCCGCGUGCAGGAAGAAGGUUUUCGGAUCGUAAACUGCUUUUCUCGGGAAGAGAACGGACGGUACCCGAGGAAUCAGCCCCGGCUAACUACGUGCUAGCAGCCGC